GACGAACGCUGGCGGCGUGCCUAAUACAUGCAAGUCGAGCGAACCAAUAAGAAGCUUGCUUUUUGUUGGUUAGCGGCGGACGGGUGAGUAACACGUGGGUAACCUGCCUGUAAGACCGGGAUAACUCCGGGAAACCGGUGCUAAUACCGGAUAGAUUAUCUUUCCGCAUGGAGAGAUAAGGAAAGAUGGCUAUUGCCAUCACUUACAGAUGGGCCCGCGGCGCAUUAGCUAGUUGGUGAGGUAACGGCUCACCAAGGCGACGAUGCGUAGCCGACCUGAGAGGGUGAUCGGCCACACUGGAACUGAGACACGGCCCAGACUCCUACGGGAGGCAGCAGUAGGGAAUCUUCCGCAAUGGACGAAAGUCUGACGGAGCAACGCCGCGUGAGCGAAGAAGGUCUUCGGAUCGUAAAGCUCUGUUGUUAGGGAAGAACAAGUAUCGGAGGAAAUGCCGGUACCUUGACGGUACCUGACGAGAAAGCCACGGCUAACUACGUG
rnacentral:rRNA from 1 species